CGGAGAGUUUGAUCCUGGCUCAGAGUGAACGCUGGCGGCGUGGAUUAGGCAUGCAAGUCGAGCGAUCCGGCUGAGUUGACAGGUUGACCGUAAGGUUGACUUGAAGGCGAAGCCGUGAUAGCGGCAAACGGGUGCGUAACGCGUGAGUAAUUUACCUCUAUGUCGAGGAUAGCUUCGCGAAAGCGGAGGUAAUACUUGAUGUGUCCAGACCCCCAUAAGGGGGACUGUGUAAAGGCUUCGCAAGAAGCCAUGUAGAGAUGAGCUCGCGUCCUAUCAGCUAGUUGGUAGGGUAACGGCCUACCAAGGCUUUUGACGGGUAGCUGGCCUGAGAGGGUGGUCAGCCACACGGGGACUGAGAUACUGCCCCGACUCCUACGGGAGGCUGCAGUCGAGAAUCUUUAGCAAUGGACGAAAGUCUGACUAUGCGACGCCGCGUGAGGGAUGAAGGUUUUCGGAUCGUAAACCUCUUUCGAUGGAGAAGAAGGGCCGACGUAAGUCGGCCUUGACGGUAUCCAGAGAAGAAGCCACGGCCAACUCCGUGCCAGCCCCGUUAGAAACGGGAGCUGGAGGCGCGGAGAUACUGUAGUAAUACAGUGUAAGAAAAUCUCACUAUAUGCUGGGAAGCUUAUAAACGGGCUGCGUCCCGAAAGGGAUUGUUUAUAGGUCAAUCAGCAGGCAACCUGCAAAUGUGCAGAGAGUCCUCAGAGACUAUACGUGAGACUCCAUGAAAGUGGAUGAUGAUAUAGUCCAAACCGUUGUUGAUGUUUCUAACGGGGCCAGCAGCCGCGGUAAUACGGAGGUGGCGAGCGUUACUCGGAAUUAUUGGGUGUAAAGGGCAGGUAGGCGGCCAUGUAAGUUGGGGGUGAAAUCCUUUGACUCAAUCAAAGAACUGCCUUCAAAACUGCAUGGCUUGAGGCCAGAAGAGGAGAACGGAAUUCCCGGUGUAAGGGUGAAAUCUGUAGAUAUCGGGAGGAACACCAGUGGCGAAAGCGGUUCUCUGGUCUGGCCCUGACGCUGAUCUGCGAAAGCUAGGGGAGCAAACAGGAUUAGAUACCCUGGUAGUCCUAGCCGUAAACGAUGAGCACUAGGUGUUGGGGGGUUUCCUUCAGCGCCGCAAGAUAACUCGUUAAGUGCUCCACCUGAAGACUACGGCCGCAAGGCUAAAACUCAAAGGAAUUGACGGGGGCCCGCACAAGCGGUGGAACAUGUGGUUCAAUUCGAUGCUACGCGAAGAACCUCACCAGGGCUUGACAUGCAGGAAGUAGGAACUUGAAAGAGAGACGACCUGUCAAGUCAGGAGCCUGCACAGGUGCUACAUGGCUGUCGUCAGCUCGUGUCGUGAGAUGUUGGGUUAAGUCCCGCAACGAGCGCAACCCUCAUCGUUAGUUGCUACUUUUGGAGGGGCCGCAAGGUCUUUCUUAAAAGGCACUCUAACGAGACUGCUCGCGAUAAGCGAGAGGAAGGUGGGGAUGACGUCAAGUCCGUACGGCCUUUAUGCCCUGGGCUACACACGUGUUACAAUGCCUGCUACAAAGCGUUGCCAAACCGCGAGGUGGAGCUAAUCGCAAAAAAGCAGGCACAGUUCAGAUUGGAGUCUGCAAUCCGACUCCAUGAAGCUGGAAUCGCUAGUAAUGGCGGAUCAGCUACGCCGCCGUGAAUACGUUCCCGGGCCUUGUACACACCGCCCGUCAAGCGAUGGGAGCUGGGGGUACCUGAAGUCUCCUUUAUUGGAGCCUAAGGUAAAUCUGGUGACUGGCGCUAAGUCGUAACAAGGUAGCCGUACCGGAAGGUGCGGCUGGAUCACCUCCUUUCUAA
rnacentral:rRNA from 1 species